rnacentral:antisense_RNA from 1 species
UCUCAUCAUGGCCACUUAGCUUGCUCGAGAUUACACAGAACCAUGCCUCUGGUUUCCUGGUACAGUGCUCCUGCAGGUGACGGAUGCUCCUGGGUGACGUAUCACGGAUCUCUCUGAGGUAAGACGUGCCUUUUGCCUUCCACCUUCUGCCAUGAUUGUGAGGACCCGCCAGCCACGUGGAACUGUGAGUCCAUUAAACUUCUUUUUCUUUAUAAAUUAUCUAGUGUCGGAGCCCUAGAUUUGAAAAAAGAUGCUUCUGUGGUUCCAGGCAAGAUGGCUGACUAGGAACAGCUCCGGUCUGCAGCUCCCAGCGAGACCAACACAGAAGGCAGGCCGUCAUCCUUAAGCCAUAAAAUGCCCUGUAUAGGUGGAACAGGUCAGAAGACUGAAUGCUCAAGCUGCAUGUGGAGUUAACAUGGCAAUAACACAGAAUGUGAUGACAGCAGACUCUAGAAUCUCAUGACAUCAGUUUAUAUUAGAACUGUUCUGUAGCUCACCUUUCUCCGAAGUUGGAAUUCACAUGGCUGUGGAAUGUGUUUCUACCUUCACUGUUGGAGGAGUCAUCCAACAAAUCCAGGGGUGGGAAAACAGCUGGAUAAGGACAAUAACAUAUAUGACAGCUGUACAAUCC